rnacentral:rRNA from 1 species
CUUCCGUAGGGUNAACCUGCGGAAGGAUCAUUACAGUAUUCUUUUUGCCAGCGCUUAAUUGCGCGGCGAAAAAACCUUACACACAGUGUUUUUUGUUAUUACAAGAACUCUUGCUUUGGUCUGGACUAGAAAUAGUUUGGGCCAGAGGUUUACUAAACUAAACUUCAAUAUUUAUAUUGAAUUGUUAUUUAUUUUAAUUGUCAAUUUGUUGAUUAAAUUCAAAAAAUCUUCAAAACUUUCAACAACGGAUCUCUUGGUUCUCGCAUCGAUGAAGAACGCAGCGAAAUGCGAUAAGUAAUAUGAAUUGCAGAUUUUCGUGAAUCAUCGAAUCUUUGAACGCACAUUGCGCCCUUUGGUAUUCCAAAGGGCAUGCCUGUUUGAGCGUCAUUUCUCUCUCAAACCUUCGGGUUUGGUAUUGAGUGAUACUCUUAGUCGAACUAGGCGUUUGCUUGAAAUGUAUUGGCAUGAGUGGUACUGGAUAGUGCUAUAUGACUUUCAAUGUAUUAGGUUUAUCCAACUCGUUGAAUAGUUUAAUGGUAUAUUUCUCGGUAUUCUAGGCUCGGCCUUACAAUAUAACAAACAAGUUUGACCUCAAAUCAGGUAGGACUACCCGCUGAACUUAAGCAUAUCAAUAANNCGGAGGAA